UGCCUUUCUGUUGUAAUUGAUGCCAAUAGC
rnacentral:piRNA from 1 species